UACAGAGGUCCCAAGCGUUGUUCGGAAUCAUUGGGCGUAAAGCGCGUGUAGGCGGCUCGAUAAGUCUGCUGUGAAAGUCCAGGGCUCAACCCUGGGAUGCCGGUGGAUACUGUCGAGCUCGAGUCCGGAAGAGGCGAGUGGAAUUCCUGGUGUAGCGGUGAAAUGCGCAGAUAUCAGGAGGAACACCAAUGGCGAAGGCAGCUCGCUGGGACGGUACUGACGCUGAGACGCGAAAGCGUGGGGAGCAAACAGG
rnacentral:rRNA from 1 species